UAUAGAAUCUAUUAGUAAAAUAACUCCCAAUAGACAUUUUUACCCAGUUACACAGAAUAAUAUCUCUUAUUUAUUAUUCAAAUGAUACGAGUGAAAGAAAUGACUCAAAUGAAAGUGAAAGCCGGCAUGCCCGACAACCACAUAAAUAUUAAUAUUUUAUAUGUUAAUUUUAUUUGAUUCAAAAGCUUCCGCAAUACCGUAUAACAUCGAUUUGCCAACACAACAUGGGUCAAAUUGCUCCCACAGGUUCGAAAUUAGAAAUAUCAUAGAUACCCAUGGCAGGUUUCCAGUGUUCAAAAAUUGAGGCAACACUACUACAAAUCUGAGGCCGACGUGCCAACUUGGUCCCAGAAAUUAUUUAAUGCACCUUUUGGUGCAUUAAAAAUCAUGCACUCUUCCAAUCAUUAACAUGUGGAGAUUAACAAGUUAGUUUCCCGACUUCACAGCCGCAUAUUCGUUAGAAAAUGGAACUUACCAAACAUAGAGGUUACAAAAACGUACAGUCGAUGAUGCAGAAGAUGGGUGACAAGGGAAACAGAAUUACAUGCACAGUUUAAUGAACUGCUAUUAUUUAAUCAUAAAGGACAAGCACAGAACAUUCUAAUCCAACUUCCGAUCAUCAUCACAUGCAACAAAAGAAGCAAAGACCACACCUAUUCCAUCAACAACCAAACCACUGCAAAUUUCCCAGUAAUGAAAAAUACGCAAAAACUGAAAAGCGCGCAGGUUGUCAGCACCAUCCUCUACAUCCAAAGGCUUAAGCCUCAGCAAACCCCAGCUCGGAGAGCUUCACAUGGGCCUCAGCAUAAUCAGCAAAGAAUGCAUCUUCAUCCUGCGUACAGAAUUAGUGAUAAGUAUCAGCUCCCAGCAAUUAGCAAUUGUCAAAUGAUUGAUUUUUAGCAUCAUCAGCACUUCAACUUGGUUUUAAAAUAAAAAUACAUACAGCAGCAUAUUUUUCAACAUAUUGGCGGAAGACGGGAUCAGCAAUAAGAGCCUUGUCACUUGGCAAUUGUAGAAGGCCUUCUUUCUCUCCAGUCAAUAGCUCCCUAACAACAUUAAAGAAUGCACAGCAUCAGUUACUACCUUAAUUAUAAACACAACACAAUUUUUCUAGUUACUAAGGGCCUCUUUGGCAUUGCUGUUGAAACUGUUGUUGAGAAAAUCACGUUUUUUAAAUAAACUAGUUAAAGAGUUUUAAAAAAUAAUUAAAAAUUAAAU
rnacentral:misc_RNA from 1 species